rnacentral:rRNA from 1 species
AUGAACGCUGGCGGCGUGCCCAAUACAUGCAAGUCGAGCGAACGGACGAGAAGCUUGCUUUUUUGAUGUUAGCGGCGGACGGGUGAGUAACACGUGGAUAAACUACCUAUAAGACUGGGAUAACUUCGGGAAACCGGAGCUAAUACCGGAUAAUAUUUUGAACCGCAUGGUUCAAAAGUGAAAGAAGGUCUUGCUGUCACUUAUAGAUGGAUCCGCGCUGCAUUAGCUAGUUGGUAAGGUAACGGCUUACCAAGGCAACGAUGCAUAGCCGACCUGAGAGGGUGAUCGGCCACACUGGAACUGAGACACGGUCCAGACUCCUACGGGAGGCAGCAGUAGGGAAUCUUCCGCAAAGGGCGAAAGCCUGACGGAGCAACGCCGCGUGAGUGAUGAAGGUCUUCGGAUCGUAAAACUCUGUUAUUAGGGAAGAACAUAUGUGUAAGUAACUGUGCACAUCUUGACGGUACCUAAUCAGAAAGCCACGGCUAACUACGUG